GGAUUCUAAAUCAGACUUCAACCUCCUGUGUGAUUUUUAUGUUUGCCUCACCAUCAAAAUGCAAAACCAAGUUGGUAUGAAAGAUAAGUAAUUGAAAAUGGCUUUUCAUCAGAAAUGACUAACUGGGCAGAAUUUUGAACUCCAGCAAGGAUAUCAAAGCAACACACCCGAGGAAUCCAGCAGGCAAGGCAGCAUCUAAGGAAAAGAAUGAAGUGUCGAUGUUUCGGGCCAAGACCCUUCUUCAGGAUUGAGAAGGAAGGGGGAAGGCGUACAGAGGAGAUGUCAGGGAAUGUAUCAUCCAUCACCAAGAUCUCUUCUUGCUGCUGCCAUCAGGAAGGAGCUACAAGAGCCUCAAGUCCCACAUCACCAGGUUCAGGGGCAGUUACUGCUCUUCUUUUGCCUAUCAAUUGGCUUCAGAUUUUACACUACGGAUGGAAGUGCAUAUUGCUGUCUCUCAGAGUUCUCAAGAUCCAAUCAUCAUCACAAGCCAAGUUGGGAAAUUGUGCAGCGACAGCUGGAACAAGAUAAAUGAGGCCUAACUUUUCAAGACCAUGACACAUUUCAGGCAUCUGAUGUCCUCCCUCAUGGUAUAAGGUGCACAGCAUUACAGAAUGCAUUAAAAGACUGUCUAAAUCCAAACUCCAGAGAUACUGCCAUUAACAGUGCAGCAAUUCCCUCCUAUUCUGGCAGCUUUCUUAUUUCUUCUCAGUCCUGAAGAAGGGUCUCAGCCUGAAAUGUUGACUGUUUAUCCUCUUCCAUAGAUACUGCCUGACUUGCUGAGUUCCUCCAGUGUUUUGUAUGUGUUGCUUUGACUUUACAGCAUCUGCAGACUUUUUUGUGCUUGUCUUUAAACUGAUAUAUUCAAUUGGAUAUGAAAAGACUUCAUAGCUUUAUUUGAUCAAAGAAAUUUUAUUUGAUGUGAUAUUGUAUGAAAGCCACAGUAUUGAUGAGCCAUCAUUACUGUGGAAAGGUAUAAAAGGAGUAAAGGCAACUGCAAUAAUGGUAGGUUAGGUUCAGCUGGCAAAAAUAUUUCAUCCAGAAGCAUAGUCCUUCCUAACAGCUCUGACUUUGGUAGCGGGUUUAGAUUUUUUUUCUGUAUAACAAAAUUAUUAUAUUUCAAUAUUACGAUUUAAUUUAAU